rnacentral:rRNA from 1 species
GAUGAACGCUAGCUACAGGCUUAACACAUGCAAGUCGAGGGGCAGCAUAAUCGAAGCUGCUUUGAUUGAUGGCGACCGGCGCACGGGUGAGUAACGCGUAUCCAACCUUCCCCAUAGUAGGGCAUAGCCCGUAGAAAUGCGGAUUAAUACCCUAUGUUUUCCUUUGCAGGCAUCUAACGAGGAAUAAAGGUUUACCGGCCAUGGAUGGGGAUGCGUCCGAUUAGGUAGUUGGCGGGGUAACGGCCCACCAAGCCAUCGAUCGGUAGGGGUUCUGAGAGGAAGGUCCCCCACAUUGGAACUGAGACACGGUCCAAACUCC